UACGGGGGAUGCAAGCGUUAUCCGGAAUCAUUGGGCGUAAAGCGCCUGUAGGUUGUUUACUAAGUCUGUUGUUAAAGACUAGGGCUUAACCCUAGGAAAGCAAUGGAAACUUGUAGACUAGAGUAUGGCAGGGGUAGAGGGAAUUUCUAGUGUAGCGGUGAAAUGCGUAGAUAUUAGAAAGAACACCGGUGGCGAAAGCGCUCUACUGGACCAUUACUGACACUCAGAGGCGAAAGCUAGGGUAGCAAAAGGGAUUAGAUACCCCUGUAGUCCUGGCCGUAAACGAUGAACACUAGGUGUCGGGGGAUCGCCCCGGUGUCGUAGCCAACGCGUUAAGUGUUCCGCCUGGGGAGUACGCACGCAAGUGUG
rnacentral:rRNA from 1 species